GCUCUCAUAGUUCAACGGAUAGAACGUAGGUUUCCGGAACCUAAAAUCGAGGUUCAAUUCCUCGUGGGAGCACCA
rnacentral:tRNA from 1 species